rnacentral:rRNA from 1 species
GUGCCAGCCGCCGCGGUAAUACGAAGGGUGCAAGCGUUAAUCGGAAUUACUGGGCGUAAAGCGCGCGUAGGUGGUUCAGCAAGUUGGAUGUGAAAGCCCCGGGCUCAACCUGGGAACUGCAUCCAAAACUACUGAGCUAGAGUACGGUAGAGGGUGGUGGAAUUUCCUGUGUAGCGGUGAAAUGCGUAGAUAUAGGAAGGAACACCAGUGGCGAAGGCGACCACCUGGACUGAUACUGACACUGAGGUGCGAAAGCGUGGGGAGCAAACAGGAUUAGAUACCCCCGUAGUCC